rnacentral:rRNA from 1 species
UACGGGGGGGCAAGCGUUGUUCGGAAUUACUGGGCGUAAAGGGCUCGUAGGCGGCCAACUAAGUCAGACGUGAAAUCCCCAGGCUCAACCUGGGAACUGCGUCUGAUACUGGAUGGCUUGAAUCCGGGAGAGGGAUGCAGAAUUCCAGGUGUAGCGGUGAAAUGCGUAGAUAUCAGGAAGAACACUAAUGGCGAAGGCAGCUCUCUGGGACGGUACUGACGCUGAGACGCGAAAGCGUGGGGAGCGAACAGG